UGGGGGCAACCCUGAUCCAGCAAUGCCGCGUGAGUGAUGAAGGCCUUAGGGUUGUAAAGCUCUUUUACCCGGGAUGAUAAUGACAGUACCGGGAGAAUAAGCCCCGGCUAACUCCGUGCCAGCAGCCGCGGUAAUACGGAGGGGGCUAGCGUUGUUCGGAAUUACUGGGCGUAAAGC
rnacentral:rRNA from 1 species